AUGAUAAUGACGACUAUUUAUCUAUAAGUCUUGUCUAAAUUACGUGCCAGCAGACGCGGUAAUACGUAGAAGACUAGUGUUAUUCAUCUUUAAUGGGUUUAAAGGGUACCUAGACGGAAAAUCAAGCCAAAUAAGGGACUAAUAUUCUANAGUUUUAUAAAAGAAGAUGGAAUUUUCGGAGUAGAGUUGAAAUUCAGUUAUACCGUGAAGACUGGUAACGGCNAAGGCAAUCUUCUAUGUAAAAACUGACGUUGAGGGACNAAGCCUAGGGUAACGAUAAGGAUUANAGACCCUAAUAGUCCUAGGAGAAAAUUAUGAAUGUCAUAAGCUAGAUUAUUUUAGUUUAUAAAUGAAAGUGUAAGCAUUCCACCUCAUGAGUAAAGCGGCAACGCUCAAAUUGAAAUCAUUAGACCGUUUCUGAAACCAGUAGUGAAGUAUGUUAUUUAAUUCGAUGAUCCGCGAAUAACCUUACCACAAUUUGAAUAUUUUACAAGUGCUGCACGGCUGUCUUUAGCUAAUGUCGUGAGAUUUGGUUAACUCCUCUAAUUAGCGCANGCCCUUGCUUUAUUUAUUUUUUUCAUAAAGUAGUUCACCAAUAUAUCACUACAGAUAAUAGGGAUUAAGACAAGUCAUCAUGGCCUUAAUAUU
rnacentral:rRNA from 1 species